AAGUCGUAACAAGGUAACCGUAGGUGAACCUGCGGUUGGAUCAUUACCAAAAUCCAAAAUAGAUUGGAACGCUUGAAGGGCGCGGGCCCAAAAGCCCAGACCCUUCUCGCUACCAAUUUACACCCACCUGUGAACCAAAACCUGUCUUUUGGCAGACGUCGCGGGGGCUAUGCUAAGGAUAUUCUCCUUCGGCUGGUUCCCGAGAGCCCUCCCGCGGGUUAGCCCGAUGGGGGUCGAGCAUGCAGGCUUACGCUUGCUGCUUAGCGUCUGCCAGCAAAAGAUACACACCGUGUGCUUUUUGAACCAAGCUGUCUUACAUUUACAAGAGCAAAACGAGAAACAACUUUAGACAACGGAUCUCUUGGCUCUC
rnacentral:misc_RNA from 1 species